GAUGAAGAACGUAGCGAAAUGCGAUACUUGGUGUGAAUUGCAGAAUCCCGUGAACCAUCGAGUCUUUGAACGCAAGUUGCGCCCGAAGCCAUUAGGCCGAGGGCACGCCUGCCUGGGCGUCACACGUCGUUGCCCCCCCAUCUACUCCUUCGGGAUUGCGGGGGGCGGAUGAUGGCCUCCCGUGCGCCUCGUCGCGCGGUUGGCAUAAAUGCCAAGUCCUCGGCGACACACGCCACGACAAUCGGUGGUUGCGAAACCUCGGUUGCCCGUCGUGUGCGGUCGUCGCGCAUCGAGGGCUCGAAAAAAUUGCCGGGCUCCGGCUCGGCUUUCAACGCGACCCCAGGUCAGGCGGGGUUACCCGCUGAAUUUAAGCAUAUCAAAUAAGCGGAGGA
rnacentral:misc_RNA from 1 species